CCCUUAGAUGUUCUGGGCCGCACGCGUGCUACACUGAGUGGAUCAGCGGGUCAGGUUGCGCGAAAGCGUUUCCUAAUCUUUAAAUCCGCUCGUGAUGGGGAUUGACGGUUGCAAUUUUCUGUCAUGAACGAGGAAUACCUUGUAAGCGCGGGUCAUCAUCCCGCGCUGAAUACGUCCCUGCCCUUUGUACACACCGCCCGUCGCUCCUACCGAUUGAGUGGUCCGGUGAGGCUUUGGGAUCUGAGCGGAAAGAGCGUUUCGCUGUUUCUGCUCGGAAAACUCUGUCGAACCUUAUCAUUUAGAGGAAGGAGAAGUCGUAACA
rnacentral:rRNA from 1 species